rnacentral:pre_miRNA from 1 species
AGUGGGAUAGCUAGGUCAAAUGGUGGUUCCAAGUUUUCUGAGGAAUCUCCAUAUUGCUUUCCAUAGUGGUUGCACCAUUUUGCAGUCCCACCAGCAAU